UAGGGAAUCUUCCGCAAUGGACGCAAGUCUGACGGAGCAACGCCGCGUGAGUGAAGAAGGAUUUCGGUUCGUAAAACUCUGUUGUUAGAGAAGAACAGCGCAUAGAGUAACUGUUAUGCGUGUGACGGUAUCUAACCAGAAAGCCACGGCUAACUACGUGCCAGCAGCCGCGGUAAUACGUAGGUGGCAAGCGUUGUCCGGAUUUAUUGGGCGUAAAGCGAGCGCAGGCGGUCAAUUAAGUCUGAUGUGAAAGCCCCCGGCUCAACCGGGGAGGGUCAUUGGAAACUGGUUGACUUGAGUGCAGAAGAGGAGAGUGGAAUUCCGUGUGUAGCGGUGAAAUGCGUAGAUAUAUGGAGGAACACCAGGGGCGAAGGCGACUCUCUGGUCUGUAACUGACGCUGAGGCUCGAAAGCGUGGGUAGCAAACAGG
rnacentral:rRNA from 1 species